GACUGCGAGUUUGACUCAUGGAUAAAACCGUGCGUACCAGGAAUGAAGAUCCAGAACUGGAAAGCCGAAAAGAUCAUCACUGUCACUCUGCGUGAAGAGUAAUAUUUCUGUUUUUCAAUUCUGUUUGCAUGAAAGCCAUACGUUUUGCCCAAAACGUAAUGGUCCAUUGUAAGGGCCACCUCAUGUGUUUCAUUUUGCAUUGUUUGCAUCAUUAAUAAAC
rnacentral:lncRNA from 1 species